AGGUGCCGCCAUCAUAGUGUUCCGUGGAUGACGUGUACCGCAUGGGCUUCAUCUGCCCACACUAGCUUGCGUUGUGAAAUUGCGUGCAUGCUCCUUUGAACACUUGGGCAUUCGCUAUUGUCCGAAUUUUGGUCCAAUCAGCAAGACAAAUAAACAAAUAUAAAUUACAUUGAAUGAAGUGAAGACCAAAUUGCAAUUCAGUCUUCGUUCAGUCUAAAAAUAGAAGUGUCAGGGAGCCACUUCCUAAAUCCUCCCCAUCAAUAUGACCCACAUCUUAGAAAUUGGGGCAUUUCCAUAAACAGUGAGCAGUCAGUGGCAGCUCACUGUUGUGUUAAAAAAAAAAUAAAAAAAAAUCCAAUAAAGGAAUAACUUACAUAUGCCCCAUGCUGACCUCCCUUAUUUAC